rnacentral:rRNA from 1 species
AAUGAACGCUGGCGGCGUGCCUAAUACAUGCAAGUCGUGCGGCAGCAUGCCCUUCGGGGUGAUGGCGAGCGGCGGACGGCUGAGUAACGCGUAGGAAUCUACCCCAAAGUGAGGAAUAACCUCGAGAAAUCGAGGCUAAUGCCGCAUAUGGUCUUCGGAUUAAAGGAUUUAUCCGCUUUGGGAAGAGCCUGCGUAAGAUU